GAUGAACGCUGGCGGCGUGCCUAAUACAUGCAAGUCGAGCGAACCAUUUCGGUGGUGAGCGGCGAACAGGUGAGUAACACGUAGGUAAUCUACCCAUCAGACGGGGACAACGAUUGGAAACGAUCGCUAAUACCGGAUAGGACGAAAGUUUAAAGAUGCUUCGGCAUCACUGAUGGAUGAGCCUGCGACGCAUUAGCUAGUUGGCGAGGUAAGAGCUCCCCAAGGCGACGAUGCGUAGCCGACCUGAGAGGGUGAACGGCCACACUGGGACUGAGACACGGCCCAGACUCCUACGGGAGGCAGCAGUAGGGAAUCUUCGGCAAUGGACGAAAGUCUGACCGAGCAACGCCGCGUGAAUGAUGAAGGCCUUCGGGUUGUAAAAUUCUGUUAUAAGGGAAGAAAGACACGAGUAGGAAAUGGCUCGUGAGUGACGGUACCUUAUGAGAAAGCCACGGCUAACUACGUGCCAGCAGCCGCGGUAAAAC
rnacentral:rRNA from 1 species